AUCCAGUUCACGAAUCCAAAAUAGGAUGAAAUACGCAUCGUGGAU
rfam:Schistosoma curassoni strain Dakar, Senegal genome assembly, scaffold: SCTD_scaffold0010076